rnacentral:snoRNA from 1 species
UUACCAAAAGGUAAUUUGGUUGGAGAGAGGUUGUUAAAAAUAACCUUUACCAGCUUGGGCUAUUUGGGAGAAUAAAGAAGUAUUCUCUCCACAGUGGCCUAUACAACUUAGUAAAAUUUACUACUAUUUUAUGGUCUACGUU